rnacentral:rRNA from 1 species
UUCGGAUUGCAGCCUGCAACUCGGCUGCAUGAAGCUGGAAUCGCUAGUAAUCGCAGAUCAGAAUGCCGCGGUGAAUACGUUCCCGGGUCUUGUACACACCGCCCGUCACACCAUGGGAGUCGGAAAUGCCCGAAGUCUGUGACCCAACCGAAAGGAGGGAGCAGCCGAAGGCAGGUCGGAUGACUGGGGUGAAGUCGUAACAAGGUAUC